GACAGAGGGUGCAAACGUUGUUCGGAUUUACUGGGCGUAAAGCGCGUGUAGGCGGCUUGGCAAGUCGGAUGUGAAGCCCACGGCUCAACCGUGGAAGCGCAUCCGAAACGGCCUCGCUCGAGUCUACGGAGAGGAAGGUGGAAUGCUUGGUGUAGAGGUGAAAUUCGUAGAUAUACAAGCAGAACACCUGCGGCGAAGGCGACCUUCUGGACGAUGACUGACGCUGAGACGCGAAAGCGUGGGGAGCAAACAGG
rnacentral:rRNA from 1 species